rnacentral:miRNA from 1 species
UUCGUUGUCGAUGAAACCUGCCU